rnacentral:lncRNA from 1 species
GGCGACCCAUAGCGCUAUGGGGUGUGUGGGGGGAGAGGGGGCAGGGGGUGACCCAUAGGGACAUGGGGUGGGGGGAGCACAGGGCUGAGUCCCUGCCCCAUAGCGCUGUGGGGUGGGGAAGGUGUCAGGCUCUGACCCACAGCGCUAUGGGGCAGCCCCCACACUCCCACAUCCCACCCCAUAGCUCUAUAGGGCAGCCCCUCCGCCCCCCAGCUCUAUGGGGCAGGAAUCAUCCCCCACCCCCUGCCCUAUAGCGCUGUGGGGCAGGGUGGCGUUGUCCCUCACCGUCUCGGCGUGCUGCCCCACGGCUGGCACCGCGCAGAGCCUCAGCACCAGCAGCGCCCGCGCCAGCUCCCAGCUGCUGCGUCCCCCCAGCGCCGCCCCCCCCCCGAAAUCCAGGGGGGCGCUUGGGGGGCAGCGGGCCGUGGGGCGCCGUGGGGCACCCCAUAGCGCGGCCACCCCCCGGGGGGCUCGGCGCAGCAAGGCCGGGGGCAGCAUGGGGCUGUGGGGGUGGUGGCGGGGCUGUGGGGCUGCCCCAUAAGUAGCCCCCCCCGGGGGUCACUCAUUAACCCGGCCCCGCACGGGUCACUGGAGGGGCUCAGCCCCACAGCAGGGGGGGCUCCCGUGGGGCAGAGGGCGAAGGGCGAAGUGCGAGGGGAUGGUUGGGGGGCGGGACCCAUAGCAGGGGCUGCGUGGGGGGCAGAGAGCCUCUGGGCCCCAUAGCGGGGCAAUGUGUGGGGCAGGAGCCUUCUGUGCCCCCCCAACCCCAUUCUGUGGGGCAGGAGUCCCCAUAACCCCACACCCCUGCCAUGGGGCAGAGCCCUCUGUAACCCCACACCCCAGCUAUGGGGCAGUCCCCUUGCUAUGGGGCAGACCCCCAUAACCCCCCCCCAAGCACACACACCCAGAGCCCUUCUUCCUUCGGGUGCUUUUAUUGGUGGACCCCGUGGGGCCGGAUCCGUGGGGCUCGCUGUGGGUCUGGCCGUGGGGCUGUCUCCGUGGGGCUGUCUCCGUGGGUCCGGCUCAGUAGUUGGAGCCGCGCUCCUGCUGCCGGUAGCCGCCGCGCCGCAGGUAGCCGCCGUCGCCCUUGCGGUAGCUGUCCUUCUGGUCUGGGGGCAGGGGGGUGAGCGGGGCCGUGGGGCGCUAUGGGGCAGGCUGUGGGGCGCUGUGGGGCAGGGCUCACCGCGGAAGUAG